rnacentral:rRNA from 1 species
GAUCCUGGCUCAGAUUGAACGCUGGCGGCAUGCUUUACACAUGCAAGUCGAACGGCAGCGGGGGCUUCGGCCUGCCGGCGAGUGGCGAACGGGUGAGUAAUGCAUCGGAACGUGCCCAUGUCGUGGGGGAUAACGUAGCGAAAGCUACGCUAAUACCGCAUACGCCCUGAGGGGGAAAAGCGGGGGAUUCUUCGGAACCUCGCGCGAUUGGAGCGGCCGAUGUCGGAUUAGCUAGUAGGUGAGGUAAAGGCUCACCUAGGCGACGAUCCGUAGCGGGUCUGAGAGGAUGAUCCGCCACACUGGGACUGAGACACGGCCCAGACUCCUACGGGAGGCAGCAGUGGGGAAUUUUGGACAAUGGGCGCAAGCCUGAUCCAGCCAUGCCGCGUGAGUGAAGAAGGCCUUCGGGUUGUAAAGCUCUUUCGGCCGGGAAGAAAUCGUGGUCUCUAACAUAGGCCAUGGAUGACGGUACCG